rnacentral:rRNA from 1 species
GAUGAACGCUGGCGGCGUGCCUAAUACAUGCAAGUCGAGCGAACAGACGGGGAGCUUGCUCCUCUGACGUUAGCGGCGGACGGGUGAGUAACACGUGGAUAACCUACCUAUAAGACUGGGAUAACUUCGGGAAACCGGAGCUAAUACCGGAUAAUAUAUUGAACCGCAUGGUUCAAUGGUGAAAGACGGUUUUGCUGUCACUUAUAGAUGGAUCCGCGCCGCAUUAGCUAGUUGGUAAGGUAACGGCUUACCAAGGCAACGAUGCGUAGCCGACCUGAGAGGGUGAUCGGCCACACUGGAACUGAGACACGGUCCAGACUCCUACGGGAGGCAGCAGUAGGGAAUCUUCCGCAAUGGGCGAAAGCUUGACGGAGCAACGCCGCGUGAGUGAUGAAGGUCUUCGGAUCGUAAAACUCUGUUAUUAGGGAAGAACAAAUGUGUAAGUAACUAUGCACGUCUUGACGGUACCUAAUCAGAAAGCCACGGCUAACUACGUG